UACAGAGGUCCCGAGCGUUGUUCGGAUUCACUGGGCGUAAAGGGUGCGCAGGUGGGUUGGCAAGUUUGAUGUGAAAGCCCCGGGCUUAACCCGGGAAUGGCAUUGAAUACUGCUGAUCUGGAGGAUUGGAGGGGGGGACUGGAAUUCUUGGUGUAGCAGUGAAAUGCGUAGAUAUCAAGAGGAACACCAGUGGCGAAGGCGGCCUGCUGGGCAGUGAGCUCGCAAGGGCUCAAUAGCCGACACUGAGGCGCGACAGCGUGGGGAGCAAACAGG
rnacentral:rRNA from 1 species